CUAAAUCAAUAAGUAUCCUCUCAAGUUGCAGGAGGGUAGUAUUUGAAACAGCCAAGGUGAGCCAACUACCCUCAGUUCUUCAGCCAUUGCAGACCUGCAGGGAGUGCUUCAUUUAUCAGUUUUACUUUGGGCAGGUAAAUGCACAGCAUGGUUUAAGAACAGCACAAGUUGUCCAGUCUCUGAACAAUGUUGAUAGCUGGAAAAUAUUCAAAGAACCGAUUCCUCUGGCAAUAAACAACACCACACACAUUGGACAUCGAUUUUUUGAACAUCUCUCAACUACAAAAGAUGAGACAGAUUAUCUCUGGUACCUUACUAGGUAAGAUGAGCUCCAGCUUGUUUAAUGGUUUAAUGUUUACAUUGGUUUUUAAUACCUCAUCCUGCCCACAUUAAUAAUAAAAUAAUGAAAAUCAUGCAGAUAUGAUUAUAGAUCAAAUGGGGAUACCCAGCUAGUGCUUAAUGUGGAGUCACAAGCACAUGUUUUACAUGCUUACAUCAACAAUGAUUAUGUAGGUAUGGACAGAAAUACUAUCUCAGUGCAGUUUAUAGAAGGCACCAACUGAAUAGCAUCACAAAAUUGAACCUCAACUAUUAUUCAGUUGUAUAUUUGCUAUGUUUGCUAUCUUCUUCCAUAUGUGAUUAGGUAGUGUGCAUGGGAGUCAUGAUGGACCUAGAAAUAUCAUUCUCAAGACACCUAUUACGCUAAGGAAAGGACAAAACUCCAUAUCACUGCUAAGUGUCAUGGUUGGAUCACCGGUAUGACUUUCACUUAAUUGUAUAGACUCUCAAAUACGAAGGUGUCGAUAUUUAAAAUCAAGGAGCGCAUGAGGUGCCAUCCAACUGGUAUCCAUCAGGCAGCAUUGCAGUCCAAUAAAUACAUCAGCAGAGCAUGGUUUCUGUUGAAUUAUACUCCUUCCGUUUCAAAAUAAUUGAAGUUCUAGGAUUCUCUGAAGUCAAAAUUCAUCAAAUUUGACCAAGUAUACAUCAAAUUAUAUCAACAUCUGCAAUAUAAAUUUUAUUCCAUUAGUUUCAUUAUGAAAUGUAUUUUCAUAUUAUAUAUAUUUAGUAUUGUCAGUCUUUGCGGAUAUGUGUAUACACUUGGUCAAAUUUUACUAAGUUUGACUAGGAAAAUCCUAGAACUAUUUGGAAUGGAGGGAGUACAUGAUAAUUGUGUUAUUCAGAUUUUACAGCAUAUAUGAAUAAAAUACUGAACAACAUUUUAAAAAUACAAAAAAAAACAUAACCCCCUGACAGAGAUUUCAACAUAUAGACUAGUCAGCUUAACCAAGAAAGAGGCUCACUAGAAAAUCAUUGGUUCUUGUUCCUUGACUGAAAAUUAAGCUAAAAAAAGUGUGUCAACAAAACACACCACCCAAGCUGUGACUAGUGGACCCCAAAGGGAAAAGCUCAGUUGACUCUACAUAAGCACUAAUAAGAAAUUAAGCACAGCAAAUGGAUUAGAAAAGCAUGUUACCUACUAUUUGCAAUGGACUGAGUUUUACUCUAACAAGUAAAGGACUCUGGAGCGUACAUGGAGCGAAGAAUUUUUGGAGUUCGUAAAGUGAGCAUACAACAGGGAGAUCACAAAUCACAUUCUCUGAAUAAUGAGCUGUGGAAACACCAAGUAAAUCCAGGUCAACACUGAUUCUGAAUCGAUAGAUCAAUCUCAGAUUCAAAUUUUCAAUCAGUUACCUUUGUGCAGAUUGGCUUAUCUGGAGAAAUGAAUAAUAUAUACACACCGGAAGGAUCAUCUCGUGCGCAAUGGACUGCCAUCAAUAAGUCCAUGCACCUUCCACUUAUCUGGUACAAGGUACAUCAAAUGUACAUAAGUCUUUAAUUCCUGACAGACUUCAAUUACAUGUUUAUUCCACAGUGACAGUAACCGACAGCUUUGGGAAAUUGUCGUCAUUUGGUGCAGACGACAUUUGACACACCAUGGGGGAAUGACCCAGUCACGCUGAACCUCAGCAGUAUGGGGAAGGGUGAGGUGUGGAUCAAUGGAGAGAGCAUCGGACGGUAUUGGGCCUCCUUCAAAACCCCUAGCGGACAACCAUCCCAGUCCUUGUCAGUACUAUAACUAGUUUUACUACUAACAACACAAAUUCCUUUCUUGAACUCGAAUGAUGAACAGCAACUGAUGUCUCAUUCGCUUGUCUUUUCUGAAGGUACCACGUACCACAAUACUUUCUGAAGCCUAGAGAGAACACCCUCGUCCUCAUGGAGGAAAUGGGUGGUGAUCCGCUACAGAUAAGCGUGAACACAAUGUCGGUUACCCGAGUAUACAGUAGUGUGAAUGAGUUAUCCACCCCAUCACUCUUGUCACGCAGAAAGCACCCAGCAGUUCGGCUCCGGUGUCAGCAAGGCAAACGCAUCACGGAUAUUGAGUUUGCGAGCUACGGAAAUCCGGCUGAGGACUGCAGAAGCUCUAGCAGGAGCUGCCUCGGGAGUUGCCACGCAGAGACAACGGAGUUUGUCGUAAAGGAUGUAAAGCCCUCUGUCCUUCCAGAAGUUACAUGCUGAUAUCAUAAUGCACUAUCCUAUUACCACUGCAAUCCUAAAAACUUGGGUGCUUGUUUUAUUGCUUCAGGCUUGCCUAGGCAGAAGGAAGUGCGCGAUUCCGGUACGGCCUGCCAAGUUCGGAGGCGACCCGUGCCCUGGGAUCGAAAAAUCACUUUCAGUUGUGGCAAGCUGCGGAUGAGUAGGAUGGGAAUUGCUACUAUCAUGGCGUGAUUAACCAACACUCAGUUUGCACAAAUUUGUUGUCACAGGGUCCAAACACUGUACUAAAUCUGAACUACAGAUAGAGCAGUACUGUAUCCACAUGUUAAAAUGUACAGGAGAAGUGGAGUUACACGCACCAAUUUCACUGCAGAAAUUUGUUGGAUUCGCCGAG
rnacentral:lncRNA from 1 species